rnacentral:rRNA from 1 species
UACGGAGGGUGCGAGCGUUGUCCGGAAUCAUUGGGCGUAAAGGGCGCGUAGGUGGCCCGGUCAGCGUGCGGUGAAAGCUCGGGGCGUCAACCCCGAGUCGGCCGUGCGAACUGCUGGGCUUGAGCACUGUAGAGGCAGGCGGAAUUCCGGGUGUAGCGGUGGAAUGCGUAGAGAUCCGGAAGAACACCGGUGGCGAAGGCGGCUACCUGGACCGGUUCUGACGCUGAUGCGC